AUGGAUGUGGGAGCAUCAACUCCGUUCCUUUGGGCUUUUGAGGAGUGGGAGAAAUUGUUGGAAUUCUAUGAAAGAGUCCCGGGAGCUAGGGUGGGGAGCUACCUUGGAUAUGAGGAAUUGCUCCAAUCUAAAAAAAGAACAAAGAAAAAGUUCGUGACGGAAUCCAUCAAGCUUGAUCAACCAUUAACAAGCAAUCCUAAUGUGGGAGGUUUUGGUCAGGGGGACGCAGAAAUCGUGCUUCGGGAUCCAUUACGUGUCCAAGGCCUUUUGUUCUUCUUUGCAUCCGUUAUUUUGGCACAAUUUUUGGUUCUCAAAAAGAAACAGUUUGAAAAGGUUCAAUUGUAUGAAAUGAAUUUCUAG
rnacentral:rRNA from 1 species